rnacentral:rRNA from 1 species
AUGGCCGCGUGGGCGAAGAGAAGCGGCUUCGGUAGCAGAGGGGCGCAAGGUCUGCUGCCGCAACAGACGCCUAGGGUUCCACCUUCUCCAACCCUAACCAGCUCUGCCGCAGCCAACGAGAUCUCGCUCUCACCGUCAACACCAGCAAAGGCUUCAACCGUCAUCCACCUAAGAGAGAAAACCUAUUGGAGAAAACAAUGGACUACUUUCCAGAGAGAUUGGACUUCUUACACGGUACCAUGGCUCUGUGAUCAUUUUGAAACAGAAGAAUUUAAGAAUUGUGUCAAUAUCAGACUGUACAAGGAGUGUACUCUAGUGAUAAGAAGGGAUGGGCAUCAGAAGAUGCCAGGAAUAAACAUGAAGAAAUGUUGCAGAAGCGAAAUGAACAUAUAA